GAACUAGCCCAUUUCGGUUAAGCCCAUUUACUAGAGAAGUCCAAAUUUGUCAACUCAUUUAACCCAACUUGAAAGCCCAAUUCGCCUAGCCCACACCAUAGAAUCCUCUAGAAUCCUUAACCAAACAACGACGUUACCCUAACUGAUCUCUCCUUCUGCUCCUCUGCGUGUAGUAGCAGAAAGCAAUUUUGGCUUCAUCCCUGUUUUGGUAAAAGGUGCGACUUUCCUCAACCUUAUUCAAAGAAAUGCUCCCCCAUUUUUGUGAAAGUCUCUUGAAUCACUUCAUCGACAUUUGUAGCAGGGUAAGUCACGAGAGGUUAGAUAUUAAUCUUUUCCUUUUGGAAUGGAUUUUUCUUCAUUUCUCAUCUGUUAUCUCAAAAGAUUUUUGACCGUUGUUGAAGGUCUGUCUGGACUCUCAAACGGCUAAUUCUAAAAAUCCCGCCCAAAUUCACUGUUGGGAGAACCCUAAGUUUGGAUGUUUUUGGUGGUAGCCACCAUUUUGAGCUUCAAGGUUUUUCAGUCGCCCACUUCACUUUAAAGGCUUACACGAAUUUUCCACUGCUCAAAGCUGUUCAGUCGCCACUCUACCUCUCAAAUCUUACCAACUAUGAGAAGCCUUUGUCUCGUUUACUUAACUUGAACAACAGAAGAGCUUCACUCUCAAACACUGCCUAGAAUCAAACACUACUCAUUAGCCGUUGUUGUCUCUCUUUAAAAAUUUCUCUGUCUCUAUUGACUUUAAUCACAACAGAGAGAUUUUAGUUCGCUUGAUUCUAAUUCGAAUCUGCCCGUGAUGAAAGAGUAGAUUCGAGAUCGACGACCCCCGUUCACUGCCCAACAACAGCGGAGCCGAAGAGUUUCACUUUGAGACUCAACGACGCCGUAACACCACGUGGAGGCUGCACAUCCCCGAGUCCCUUUUCCAGCUUUUACCGUGUUUAGACAUAAAAAAAAUGCAGUUGUUCUUUUAAUUACAUCAAAAGAAGAUAGGAAAGACUCGGCUUGAACUUACUCUGUAAGAGUUAGCGGGACCAACAAGAUGACAAUUAGAUGUCUUUUUUGUGAUAAGAUUUCAAAUGGGGGAAUCUAUCGUCAAAAAGCGCAUCUAAUCGGUGGUGAUCCAAAUGUCACAUCUUGUCCUAAACUUUCGUCUCAUGUGAAGGAAGAAUUGAAAACAUUCCUUCAAAAAAAGAGAGUUAAAGACUCAAAUGAUUCAUGAACAAAAAUUGUAUAAUCUUGAUGAUGACGAUGAUGAAAUAGAAGAAGGUGACAAUGCUUCCUCGCUUUCAUCAAAAUCACAAAAAUGGGGAAAGAUGCAAACAAUGUCUUCUAGUCGUGGAUCUACUAGCUAAACCAAAGGUCCUAUGGAUUGUUACUUCCCGCAAAAAUUUGGAGAUAAGGAAGGAAAAAGUGAUAAUCCUCAAAUUGAUGCCAAAGCGAUUUUAAGGGAUCAUGCAGUUAUAAUGUUUGCGCGGUGGAUGUCUAAUGCAUGUCUUCCUUUUAAUUGUGUUAAUUAUAUUGACACUUUUUCUGCUUUUAUCGAGGCGUAGGCCAAUAUGGUCCAUGAAUGAAACCUCCAACUUAUCAUGAAGUUAGAGGUCCUUAUCUAAAAAAAGAGGUAGAAGAGGUAAACAAAAUCGCGGAGGAGCACAAAGUAGAAUGGAACAAGUUUGGUUGUUCCAUUAUGAUGGAUAAGUGGACGACAAAAAAUGAAAAAAUGAUCAUCAAUAUAUUGUUGAAUUCUCCUAAGGGAAGCCUGUUUCUUGAGUCUGUUUAUGCAAGCAACUCUUUGACUGAUUCAACCAAAAUGUACUCCUUGUUCAAGAGUACAAUAGACUAUUGGAGCAGAAAAUGUUAUUCAAGUUGUCACGGACAACGCCAGUGAAAAUGUUAAAGCUGGUGAUUUGAUGUCUGUUGGGGUACCCAUAUAUUUAUUGGACUCCGUGUGCAACACAUUGCACUAAAUUUGAUCUUCGGUGAUUUCAAGGAAAGACCCUUCAGUUCAGUCUUUAAUUAGGCAAUUAGAGUGCAUUCCUAUAUUGUUCAAAGGCCUUUGUUAUUGAAUAUGAUGAAGAGAUUCACUAAACAAAGAAGCUUGGUGAAACCUGCAAAGACAAGAUUUGCUACCGCUUUCUUGACUUUGCAUAGGAUGUAUGAGCAAAAAAGCAAUUUGAAGAAGUUGUUUGUUUCAGAUGAGUACACUAACAGUGCCUAUGGAAAGGAAGCUCGAGGGAGAGAAUCUGCAGAUAUUAUACUUUUUCCUUCAUUCUGGAAUAAUGUGGUUCAUGCAUUGAAGAUUGAUGGUCUUUUAGUUAAAGCGCUUCAUUUGGUGGAUGGGGAGAAAAGGCCACCAAUGGGCUACCUUUACGAAGCAAUGGAUAGAGCAAAGGAGGAUAUUCAAGCCUCUUUUAGUGAUUAAAGAAAACACAAUAGAGUCUUUGAGAUCAUAGAUAAAAGGUGGGAUGGUCAGCUUCAUCGCCCUUUGCAUGCAGCUGGACUUGUUUUGAACCUGAAUUGUUUUAUGACAAUGAAGAGAGGAUUCUAGGAGAUGAAGAUUUGUGGAAGGGAUACAUUGAAUGUAUUGAGAAGUUGAUACCUGAAGAAUCUGUACAAGAUAAAAUAACAGAGUAAUUUAGUACUUAUAGGAAUGCUAAGCAACUUUUUGGAAAAACAUGGCGAUUAGACAAAGAAAGAUGAAGUCACCAGUUGAAUGGUGGAAGCAAUAUGGCCAUUUCACUCCAGAUAUACAAAAGUUUGCAAUCAAGGUUCUAAGUCUAACAUGUUGCUCAUCCGGAUGUGAAAGGAAUUGGAGCGUGUUUGAACAUAUUCAUACCAAAAAGAGGAACAAACUAACCUUGAAGCGUCUCAAUGAUCUAGUCUUUAUUAAGUACAAUAGAACAUUGAUGCGUCGUUAAAACGCUCGCAAUGUAACUGAUCCAAUUAGUUUGGACAACAUCGAUGAUGUUAAUGAAUGGCUAACUGGAGUCCCGAAAGAUCAUGCAGAUAAAGAAGUAUUUGAGGAAACUUCUGAUUUCACUUGAGGUGAUAUUGCGGAGGCGCGUGGAAUUGGGGAGAGGAUUUAUGAUUUGAGGGGGAGUACCUCAACUUCAAGUUCACAGAGGAAGGGAAAAGAGGCCGCUACUUUGUCCCUAGUUGAUGAAGAAGAAGAAUUUGAAGAAGAUGACGAGCAAUAUAAUAAUGAUAGUGGAAUACAAGAAUUUGACAA